rnacentral:tRNA from 1 species
GGGUGAUUAGCUCAGCUGGGAGAGCACCUCCCUUACAAGGAGGGGGUCGGCGGUUCGAUCCCGUCAUCACCACCA